UUUUAUCGGAGAGUUUGAUCCUGGCUCAGGACGAACGCUGGCGGCGUGCCUAAUACAUGCAAGUCGAGCGGAUUGAUGGGAGCUUGCUCCCUGAUAUCAGCGGCGGACGGGUGAGUAACACGUGGGUAACCUGCCUGUAAGACUGGGAUAACUCCGGGAAACCGGGGCUAAUACCGGAUAACUCAUUUCCUCGCAUGAGGAAAUGUUGAAAGGUGGCUUUUAGCUACCACUUACAGAUGGACCCGCGGCGCAUUAGCUAGUUGGUGAGGUAACGGCUCACCAAGGC
rnacentral:rRNA from 1 species